ensembl:lncRNA
GGAAUUAACUCAUGGGCAUGAAUGGGAGUCAUUGAAUAAACGAGUAAAUUAAAUUAUUGGAAAAUAUUUCCAACAGCGGUCUCACUUCUUGCACCUGCUUUUCCCUAUUAGCAGGUUUAAGGGACCUUAGUUUACAUCUUUGAGUCAGUGGUCGUGAGCCAUGACUUAGUAUUGCUUCAUAAGAUUAAAUGGAAUUUCUUUGGGGAUUUAAAAAAUACCAAGUCAGAGGAAACUGCAUGACGUUCCACUCUGUUGGGAUUAGAAUGUAAAUAGAUUCUGCUUUUUAAUUUUGGGAUCACUUUUACAAUGCAGUAUAAAGGGCAAUUCUGUCUCUGUUCUCAAGGGAAGCCCUGUUUCUUUGUAGCACCAGAAGCUAAGAAGAAAGCAGAAGAAACUGGUGAGGCCAAGUGGUCUGGCAUGCAACCCUCUGGAAGUGGUGGGAAGGCACAGCAGUGGCAUUUCUACAACCUCAUGAGCACAGGUGCAGCCAGUUAUUCCCAAAUGAGGUGGACCAGGAGUGAUGCAAAUUCGGAAUGACCCCUUCAGUCAGUGCCCAUGUAUAGCCACGCCGAUGGGGACUGGAAGGAGGCAAGCCAAUAAAGAUGGUGGAGAAGACCUGGUGGCUUUGGGAUGUAGCAGCCUCUGGAAGUUACCACCCUUGGAGCACAGUGGGUACAAUGGACAACAUUCCUGUGAUGUUCUUGCACCAGGGUUUGAUGCAGUAGCCAAUAUCCCAGUAAGGAGCAGACCAGCUGAAAGUGAUGGCGAAUUCUUCUCCACAUUGAGUUUUUUGGAUGAAACUGAACUCUUCCUGCAAGCUUGCUGUUGA